GACGUAGGAUGCAAGCGUUGUCCGGAAUUAUUGGGCGUAAAGCGUUCGUAGGCGGUUACUUAAGUCUGGUGUUAAAGACGGGAGCUCAACUCCCGCAUGGCAUUGGAAACUGGGUGGCUAGAGUACGGUAGAGGUCUCGGGAAUUCCAGGUGUAGCGGUGAAAUGCGUAGAUAUCUGGAGGAACACCGGUGGCGAAAGCGCGAGACUGGGCCGUAACUGACGCUGAGGAACGAAAGCCAGGGGAGCGAAAGGG
rnacentral:rRNA from 1 species